CAAAACGCAGUUGUCAAAAAAAAACAAACGUCACUGUCAAUUACCAGGCCUAGAACUUGUCAUUCCGCUGUUUGUUGUGACUGGAAAAAAGGAGCGAGAUUUUAGUUUGUUUUAUGGAAAUAAACGGAUAUAUAAAAUACAGUAAAAGUGAAAAUGAGUGGAAAUAAGGGAAACUUGAAUGAAAGAGAUAUUGAAGAUUAUCUUAAUAAGUUACAAGGCGGUUGGCUCUCAGAAGAUGACCUCGAUGACCAAGAUUCCGAUGAUGAAAACCGCGAUUCUGUUGAAGUUAUGAGUGUUGCAGGAGGAGAACGACGAUGAUGAUGAUGAUGGGGAUGAUGUGGAUGAAACUUGUGACAUUGAUCCUCCUCUUGUAGAAACAGAAGAUCAAGAACCCUCUCACCCAUCAACUUCAUCCAAUUUGCAGUCUUCAUCCAGUUUUCUAUUUGACAAAAGAAGCUUGAUUUGGAAAAAAAGGAAUCUGGUGUAUGACGAAGAUAAAAUUACUUUCUUGGGGAGUUCUACUGCUUCAGGUGGUCUAUCACACCUAGAAACUCCAUAUCAAUGUUUUAAAUAUUUUAUCACUGAAGAUUUUAUCAAAACAUUAGUAGCGGAGACAAAUUUAUACAUAAUACAGAGUAAUCCCAGUUCAUCUAUAACAGUUACAGAAUGUGAUUUGUAUAAGUUCUUUGGUAUAUUAUUGUACAUGUCAGUAAUCAAAUUUCCUAGCACAAGAUAACUAAAGUCAAUAGAUAUGACAGGACAAUAAAAGGAAAAAUUGAUAUUACUUGCCCGUUUAUUGUCCAAGAGUACAAUAAACAUAUGGGAGGAGUAGAUCUCAUGGAUAGCUUUUUGGGCAGAAAUCAUAUAACAAUAAGGUCUAAAAAGUGGUACUUGCGUAUAUUUUAUCAUUUAUUUGAUCUAGCUAUUAUAAACUCUUGGAUUAUAUAUAAAAAAAAUGCUCAAGAAAGAGGUGAACCCAAAAAGAGUCUACUUACAAUGGGCCAAUUCAGAAAUGAAUUGGCUUUUGUGCUAUGCAACAGAGGACCCACCAAAGACGCUAAAAGAGGUCGUCCUAGUACCAGUUUACUAGAAGAGAAAUUACUAUAAAAAAAAAGAAAAGGUUCUCCAGCACCACCACCUCCAAAAGACAUAAGAAAAGAUGGUGCUGAACAUUGGCCAACAGUAGGUGGGUCACUCCGGUGCAAAUUUCCCAAAUGUAAAGGCUAUUCCACAAUUUCGUGUAGUAAAUGUGGCGUCAAUUUGUGCUUAAAUAAAAAUAAUAAUUGUUUUUUAAAUUAUCAUAAAGAAUAAAGAAGAUUGAGUAAACAA